rnacentral:lncRNA from 1 species
AAACUACAUCACCCUUCUACAGUUGUUCUGUGGAGACUUCAGUAUUCAGAAUAACAGAAUUCUAGAAUUGAAAGAAAACUCAACAGACUUUCAGACCAACCCAUACCUCAAAGGAAUCCCUAUUCUAACAUAAUCAACAGUAUAUUCCAGCAUUGAUGACAGAUCUCCAAGGAGGGAGAGUCUACAACUUCCUGAGGCAUCCACUUCCAGAAACCUCUCCAAGUCGGGUCCUUUAAGAAAAAUUACCAAAGGAUUUUCAAGCUUCUACAAAAGGUUCUGUCAAAAACAACCAGAGAAAAACAGUGACACCUUCUGUCUGCAAAGAGAAGUUCCUCUCCAAAACCUGAUGUUACUCAGUGGUGAUUUUUUGAAAGAGCUCAAGCCAAGGGCUCAACGGGGACCUCGUGGGAUUUAUUCCCCUGUCCUUAAAGCCACCUGGUGCUGGGGGCUCCGGAUCCUUCAUCAUCAUUAUCAGGUCCUCUGAUUCUAUCCAGGAAGCCUGAAUUUUAAAAUAGAGAGACCCAAAUGGAGAGAAGCUUUCUACCCACAAUCAGGAGAAUGUCCAGAUAAGAGGUAACCAGGAAAAAAAGGCCCAAGUUC